AUACGUAGGGGGCGAGCGUUGUCCGGAAUGAUUGGGCGUAAAGGGCGCGUAGGCGGCGCGGUAAGUCUGGAGUGAAAGUCCUGCUUUCAAGGUGGGAAUUGCUUUGGAUACUGCCGCGCUUGAGUGCAGGAGAGGUUAUCGGAAUUCCCGGUGUAGCGGUGAAAUGCGUAGAGAUCGGGAGGAACACCAGUGGCGAAGGCGGGUAACUGGACUGCAACUGACGCUGAGGCGCGAAAGUGUGGGGAGCAAACAGGAUUAGAUACCCUGGUAGUCCACACGGUAAACGAUGAAUGCUAGGUGUAAGAGGUAUCGACCCCUUUUGUGCCGGAGUCAACACAAUAAGCAUUCCGCCUGGGGAGUACGGCCGCAAGGUUGAAACUCAAAGGAAUUGACGGGG
rnacentral:rRNA from 1 species